rnacentral:rRNA from 1 species
UACGAAGGGGGCUAGCGUUGUUCGGAAUUACUGGGCGUAAAGCGCACGUAGGCGGAUAUUUAAGUCAGGGGUGAAAUCCCAGAGCUCAACUCUGGAACUGCCUUUGAUACUGGGUAUCUUGAGUAUGGAAGAGGUAAGUGGAAUUGCGAGUGUAGAGGUGAAAUUCGUAGAUAUUCGCAGGAACACCAGUGGCGAAGGCGGCUUACUGGUCCAUACUGACGCUGAGGUGCGAAAGCGUGGGGAGCAAACAGGG